UACAGAGGGGGCUAGCGUUGUUCGGAAUUACUGGGCGUAAAGCGCGCGUAGGCGGCUUUGUAAGUUAGAGGUGAAAGCCCGGAGCUCAACUCCGGAAUUGCCUUUAAGACUGCAUCGCUAGAAUCAUGGAGAGGUGAGUGGAAUUCCGAGUGUAGAGGUGAAAUUCGUAGAUAUUCGGAAGAACACCAGUGGCGAAGGCGACUCACUGGACAUGUAUUGACGCUGAGGUGCGAAAGCGUGGGAGCAAACAGG
rnacentral:rRNA from 1 species